UCAUCGGCCUCAGAUUGGUACGACUACCCGCUGAACUUAAGCAUAUCAAUAUCGCGGAGAGA
rnacentral:rRNA from 1 species